ACUUAUAUUGCCCAAUAAGUUAUUCAUUUAUAUCAUUAUAUUUACUGUUCAAACAUACUAGUCAAUGUUAUUUUUUUUUCAGGUCUGGCGCAGUGGCUCACGCCUCUAAUCCCAGCACCCUGGGAGGCCAAGGCAGGUGGAUCACCAGAGAUCAGGAGUUUGAGACUAGCUUGUACAACAUGGCGAAACCCCAUCUCUACUAAAAAUAAAAUAAAUAAAUAAAUAAAUAAAUUAGCCAGAGAUGGUAGCAGGCCAUUUUAUUUCAUUUCCACUUCACAAAUCCAACAUAGUUAAUCGGGUUUGAUAUUAAUGAGCCUGUACAGCUAAAACAUGGAAAUAUAAUAACUACUGUUGAUCAAUCUUUCAGCUACUUUUUUAUAUCUGUCUCAAGAACUCCAUCUCAAAGAGUAAAUUCAUAUUAUGAAGACUUUAUUCAUAAAGCAGCAGAAGUUUGGGGUUACUCAUUAUGUUAUGCCUCCUACUAACAUAGGACAUUUUGGAGAAGGAAUUCUACUACGAUUUUCCAGGAAACAUGAACUUCUGAGCCAUCUGAGACAAUACCAUCCGCUUGGACUUCCUUGACAUGAACAGAGACAUACGUGAAACUUCAAUUCAGUGAACUUGAAAGGGCACUGGAAUCUUGAUCUCCAUCUUGGUGAUGAAUUUUGGAAAAAGCUAAUUGUACAUUUAAGAUCCAGGGCUAAAUAUUGACCAUGUGACUUGGUAACUUCUGUAAGACUCAGUUUCCAAGUGAGGAACAUCCUUCUAAUGGGAAGUUCUCAAUAAAAGAAAGUAGUUUUCAUAUUUUUUGACUCCA
rnacentral:lncRNA from 1 species